ensembl:lncRNA
UACCAACCGCCAUAGAACUCCACAUAGAAGAAGAAGGAGAAGAAGAAGAAGACCUGACGCCCGGUGGUCGUUCGUCGGUGAGUCCUCUGAUAAUACCCAACUGAAGCCGCGGGUACAGUGUUGUUGACGUCGAGAAGCUGCUCGUUGACGGGGUAACGUCGCUGUUCACACGGUCUCCUCUGCUCCCGAAAAUUCACCACCAUGGUUUGCUGUGCUGCAUGGGGAUGCUCCAAUCGCUCCGAAAAAGGAGUGAAAAUGUAUGGCUUCCCAACCGAACUAGAGAGGAGAAAGAAAUGGGUAGCCAAAGUCAGCAGGAGUGAUCUCAAAAUAAAUCAGGAUUAUAACUAUAAAAAACUCUGUGAGGCACAUUUUGAAGCAGACCAGUUUGUCAGGACACCAAAAGGCAAAACUAGACUGAAGAAAGAUGCCAUUCCCACAGUCUUUGUGCAUCGCCCUGUGGCCAAAAAGAGGAGGAGCCCUACACCACGAUGCACCACUGGACAUGUGACUACAACAACAAUAGCUGUUGAUCACAGCUACAGUCUUAAAGAUGGCAAAGUUCCCAAGAUUGAAGAAAGAAGGGAUGAGGUGACUGAGAGAAUGGAAAAUGAAAGUGAAGAAAAAGACAUCAUGGCUAGUGAGGAGAGACGGCGAGAACCGUCACAGCCCAGUCAGCCAACAGCCAGUGAGCCAGCAGACAGUCAAUCCAAUCUAUUGAAAACGUUAAAGAGACAAGAAGAAAUUACCAAAAAAGCAAAGGCAGCACUAAGAAAAAUGAGGAGGGAAAAUGCUGCUCUCAAGAAGACACUGAAAAUUAGGGACCACAAAAUAAAGAAAACUUUUUCAAAAGACCAAAUUAAGGCGUUAGGCAGGCUAACCACAAAAGGCAUGAAAUGGAGCAAUGAAACGAUUGAGAAGGCAUUGAAAAUUCGCUUUGCUGCCGGUCCUGCAGCUUACAAGACCCUGCAGGAAUUAGAGAUUCCUCUGCCGGGAAUACGAACCCUGCAAAGAAGGAUGCAGUGUGUUAAGUUUGAAAAAGAACAACACCUAACAGGUGGCCAUUUUGGAAACAAGAGCAAAUCCAAAAAGGCUACAGGGAAUAACAGUAGCCAAGUUUCAACAUCUGGCAACUCCCAAACAGCUUUAAAGGUUUUAUCAAGCCCAUUGGUUGUUGCAAUGGAAACAUUUGAGCUAACCAUUGCUCCUACAAGUGCUCCAGCACCCAGCCAACAUCCAGCCAACACCACUGCUUCUCCUCUUACCAGCACACAGCCAGCAUCACUACUCUGCAGCCUAACAGAACAUCACUUGUCCCCAGUCAUCAUGACUUGCAGCAUCAUUGAUCCUCACCAUGCAGCAGCACAGCAGCCUUGAAAUUAUUACAUUUAAUAGGUGUGAUUACUAAUAUAAUUAAUAUAAAAUGUUCAGUAUGAUUUCUUAUGUAAUAUUGCAGUAUAAUACAAAUCUGAAACACACUUUGUCAUGUUUUCAUAACUCACCAUGGUCCGUUGAUGCUCCAUCAUAGGAUACCAGUCCUGUGGCAUCACUGGUCCCUGUGCUCCUGCAGUAGUUCACUUACACGCUAACAAGUUUACUCGAUUAGUAAUAAUCGAGUAAUUUCUAGUAGUAUUAGUAGUAAUUACUUGUAUAAUACAGUAGUAGCCUAUAAUACAUAUAGUAUUAAGUAUAGUUCCCCAUUUAGUUUAGUUAUUUUCAACAUUGUUGGCCUUUAUUUAAACUUCUAUGUGCUUUCAAUCUCACUUAGGGCUUCUAACUUCCCUUUCCUUCUGCCAUGAUCAUAAUUAGCUGAGCUUAUAGAUAUUUACAGCUAAGAGAAACACAAAGCUUAAAGCACUC